rnacentral:lncRNA from 1 species
CAACAGAAAGUAGUACAACAUCAUCGAACCUCAACAGAUUGAUCCAUGACUUACAUCUUAUUGAGACUAAGUUCAACUAAUUGAAUGUACUUGGUCUAACCACAGAGAUAAUCCCACCCUGUUUAAGCUUGAGAAAUGUUUAAUAUUAAUGGAUUGGGUUACAGCUUUCCCUACUACAUCCUACGACCUCUAGCAAAGACAACCUCUGAUCAUCGCCC